rnacentral:rRNA from 1 species
UACGGGGGGGGCGAGCGUUGUUCGGAAUUACUGGGCGUAAAGGGCGCGUAGGCGGCCACCUAAGUCAGACGUGAAAUCCCUCGGCUCAACCGGGGAACUGCGUCUGAUACUGGGUGGCUUGAAUCCGGGAGAGGGAUGCGGAAUUCCAGGUGUAGCGGUGAAAUGCGUAGAUAUCGGGAGGAACACCAGUGGCGAAGGCGGCUUCCUGGCCCUGAUCUGACACUGAGGAGCGAAAGCGUGGGGAGCGAUCCGG